rnacentral:rRNA from 1 species
CGCCUGGGGAGUACGGCCGCAAGGUUAAAACUCAAAUGAAUUGACGGGGACCCGCACAAGCGGUGGAGCAUGUGGUUUAAUUCGACGCAACGCGAAGAACCUUACCUGGCCUUGACAUCCAGAGAACUUUCCAGAGAUGGAUUGGUGCCUUCGGGAACUCUGAGACAGGUGCUGCAUGGCCGUCGUCAGCUCGUGUCGUGAGAUGUUGGGUUAAGUCCCGUAACGAGCGCAACCCCUAUCCCUGGUUGCUAGCAGGUAAUGCUGAGAACUCCAGGGAGACUGCCGGUGACAAACCGGAGGAAGGUGGGGAUGACGUCAGGUCAUCAUGGCCCUUACGGCCAGGGCUACACACGUGCUACAAUGGCGCGUACAGAGGGCUGCCAACUCGCGAGAGUGAGCCAAUCCCUUAAAACGCGUCGUAGUCCGGAUCGGAGUCUGCAACUCGACUCCGUGAAGUCGGAAUCGCUAGUAAUCGCGAAUCAGAAUGUCGCGGUGAAUACGUUCCCGGGCCUUGUACACACCGCCCGUCACACCAUGGGAGUGGAUUGCACCAGAAGUAGUUAGUCUAACCUUCGGAAGGACGAUUACCACGGUGUGGUUCAUGACUGGGGUGAAGUCGUAACAAGGUAACCGUA